AAAGGAUAAGAAGAGUAGGUAGUAAGAGAGAAAGAGUUAUCAGAAAGAAAGAAAAGAAGAAAGGGAAGAGUAGAGAAGAUGAAAAGAGAAGAAAGAAGAAGAGAGAAAGAAGGAAGAAAGGCUUGGAGGAGAAAAGGAAAAACUCAUCAUCACCAUUUUCUACUCAUCAUCCUCACCAACUUCUUCUUCUUCUUCUACUAGACAUUCUAAAGGCGGAAUUGAAUGUCGUACACUCAGAAUUUUAUGAAAGACAAAAUGAUUCGGCAUAUAUUCUUAAUCAAUUUAGAUGCCACUCAUCAAAACAAGGCCACCAAUAUAAUAAAGUGUUUUUAAUAGGAACCAAAGAGAGUUUGAGGGUGGAUGGGGAAGUCGGUUAUGAUGAUCUUUACGACCAAGUGUUAGAGUUCUACCGUAGUAAAUACUAAGGAAAGGUGAUGAAGUUAGUAGUUAU